rnacentral:rRNA from 1 species
GACGAACGCUGGCGGCGUGCCUAAUACAUGCAAGUCGAACGAGAGCGACCGGUGCUUGCACUGGUCAAUCUAGUGGCGAACGGGUGAGUAACACGUGGGUAACCUGCCCAUCAGAGGGGGAUAACAUCCGGAAACGGAUGCUAAAACCGCAUAGGUCUUCGAGCCGCAUGGCUUGAAGAGGAAAAGAGGCGCAAGCUUCUGCUGAUGGAUGGACCCGCGGUGCAUUAGCUAGUUGGUGAGGUAACGGCUCACCAAGGCCGUGAUGCAUAGCCGACCUGAGAGGGUGAUCGGCCACAUUGGGACUGAGACACGGCCCAAACUCCUACGGGAGGCGGCAGUAGGGAAUCUUCCGCAAUGGACGCAAGUCUGACGGAGCAACGCCGCGUGAGUGAAGAAGGUUUUCGGAUCGUAAAACUCUGUUGUUAGAGAAGAACAAGUGCUAGAGUAACUGUUAGCGCCUUGACGGUAUCUAACCAGAAAGCCACGGCUAACUACGUG